rnacentral:lncRNA from 1 species
AUUCUUUUCUCGAGAGUUAUGCACAAGCUCUUACACCUACACUGACAGUGAAUCCACCGGUGAUCUCAGAGACAGACUCAGUCACUCUGCACUGUCAGACUCCAUCAUCUGUUCCUGUGUCUCAGUGUUAUUUCUACACUUUAAGUGGAGGAACUGUCAAAGACUUCUCUUGUCUGAAGACACUGACAGGAACUGAGCUGCUGGAGAUGUCACGUCAGAGUUCACCUGCUGAGGUUAAAGUUACAUGUUUUUACACUGUAAAGCUUGGAGACAUAAAUUCUCCAUCUCCACACAGUGACACAUCCUCCGUCACCAUACACACUCUUCUUCCACCUACACUGACAGUGAAUCCACCGGUGAUCUCAGAGACAGACUCAGUCACUCUGCACUGUCAGACUCCAUCAUCUGUUCCUGUGUCUCAGUGUUAUUUCUACACUUUAAGUGGAGGAACUGUCAGAGUCUUCUCUUGUCUGAAGACACUGACAGGAACUGAGCUGCUGGAGAUGUCACAUCAGCGUUCACCUGCUGAGACCAAAAGUAAACGUCACUGCUUUGCAGGGUGGUUAUGAUGAAACCUACAGUAUCGUCACCUAUGAAUGCAACACUGAGUGACAACAGCAGCACCUCCGAGAAGCUACAUCAGCCCUGAGAGAGACCGUGUACAGCCCUCUAUAAAGUCAAUUUGAAAUUCAAAACGUUGUUUUUCUUGCAUCUUUUUCUUACUUAUGUACAAGUUAAUUGAUCUUAACAGUAUUUACAUCAUUACCCACAAGAGCAGACGUUAGAAUGGUGAUAUGGCUCAGUUGAACUUUAUUGAAUUGAUAGUUUGGUCAGAACAUAACAUGUAUCAAUGCUUUGAAUAAUAAAAUCCAUGUACACAAUUAUUUAAAAAGUCCCUUUCAUUUCAGAAGUUGAAGUUCAGGUUCAUGUUUAUUUAUACUGCGCUUUAAAAACAUAAUUUGUACCAAAGUGCUUUACCCUGAAGGGUUUAUUCACACAUUUACACAAAUUCAUAAAACUCACAUACACAGAAAACACAUUAAAAACCGCCAAACAUGAUUUAAUACAAUACAAAUGAGAAACCAUCACAGAGACAUAUUUAAGCACAACUGCAUGCAAGAAAACAAUAUUUUUAUGAUGACAUUUUACCAACUAGAUGAAAUAACACACAGCCUGUUUGGAGAUAUGAAGUUAAAUGGUUGAAGUUUCAGGACAAACAUGGAAAAAAAACGACACGUUUACUUCGAGCAGAUCAUGAACAAAAAGUGAGCAGUUUAAAAAAAGACUUUUAGUGAAGACACACACACACACACACACACACACACACACACACACACCACACACACACACACAAGCCUCCAGUGUGGUCGAUUCUAUCUAAGUAAACACACAUAUACUAGGUACUUUAAAAAGGAUGUGAGGUUUGUGUAUCUGACGUGAAUAAUUCCGAUGCUAGCUGUGGUUUUCAUGAGAGCAAGUUUUUCAAAAUGUCACUUAGGUAAAGUGAAAGUUCACACAUUGAGACACACAAAUAUCAUCUUUUGAGGACCGUGGACAGCCUCAGCUUCAUCAUGGCAGGACGCCUGCUGUUUGUCUUCCUCAUGUGUAAGUUAAACCUAUAUAUUUAUUCACUAUUGAUGUAAAUGAUUACAAACCAAUGCAGGCAAGCAAAUUAGUUAUUAGUUAUAAAUAUUUUAGUAUAUACAUACUCACAUAUAUAUAUAUAUAUAUAUAUAUAUAUAUAUAUAUAUAUAUAUAUACAUACAGCAAUCGUCAAUAUGAGUUGGACAAUAUCGUCAAAGAUCCAACAUUAUGCAUCCUUAGUUUCCACCUCUGGUUGACAGAGUUACACGGUGGUAGAGUUUUAAUCCUUCUACAUGUUGUUGAAGUCAUUAAUUAGUUAUUAUUACAUCUAUUUACUUUGUUAACAUGUUGUAUUUCCAACAGAUUCCUUUCGCGAGAUUCAAGCCCAAAGUCAGACUCUGAUCGAUUAUCUUUCAUGUCCAGUUGUUUUCACUGUGGGACGUUUAUUACAUUCUGUUAUUCAUUUUGACUAUUUUUACAAACUGUUGGGUUGUACAAUAGAUUUUCCCCCUUUCCUCUAAAAUCAACAUUCCCCAUUAAGAAUAUUACCAUAGUAAUUUAAUUAUUUAGUAUUUGAUAUCAUUUGUUUUCAUUAUCUUUAUGCAGCUGUUAAGUAUGUGAUAUAACACAUGUCUGCCUCUAAAUUUCAGCUCUUCUUCCACCUAAUAGCGUCACCAGCUGUGAUUACAGUUUGGGAAGUGAACCAAACUCUUUGUCUCCUCGUAGUGAUGGAUACAGCUUGACUGGUAAGUCAGAGAAGACACGAAACAUCACAAAGUAUUUCUCCACAAUUGAGUCUAUUGCAUGUUAUUUGAAAUGUUUAAAUAUGACACUAUGACAUCACACUAAGAAUCAAGUGAAUUUAUCUCUACUUCUAUCACACCAGUGAAACCAACAUCAGGUGACACAAAUACUCAUCAUUUAAACUGACUUUUAAAUCUUUUUUUCUUUAAGGCAUUUUCUUCCCUUAUAUUGAAUUAGAUAAUAUGGAAAUUAAAAAUUAAAACGAGGAUUCGAGAAAUGCAGCUAUGAUUUUUUAAAACUUUAUAAAAAUGUUACUCUGCGGUUCUCAGUGGUUACCACUGAAAACGCCGUUCCGACCCAUUGCAUUGUUGCAGAAGUACAACACCUACCCAGUUCCCCUUAGCACAGUUUGCGUUUUUAGCACAGUUCACGUUGUUAGAACAGUCCACGUUGUUAGCACAGUUCACGUUUUUAGCACAGUCCGCGUUGUUAGCACAUUCCGCGUUUUUAGCACAGUCUUACGUUUUUAGCACAGUCCAAGUUGUUAGCAGAGUCCACGUUGUUAGCACAGUCCGCGUUGUUAGCACAGUCCGCGUUGUUAGCACAAUCCACGUUGUUAGCACAGUCCACGUUGUUAGCACAGUCCACGUUGUUAGCACAGUCCAUGUUGUCAGACAGUCCACGUUUUUAGCACAGUCUUACGUUUUUAGCACAGUCCAAGUUGUUAGCAGAGUCCACGUUGUUAGCACAGUCCGCGUUGUUAGCACAGUCCGCGUUGUUAGCACAAUCCACGUUGUUAGCACAGUCCACGUUGUUAGCACAGUCCACGUUGUUAGCACAGUCCACGUUGUCAGACAGUCCACGUUGUUCGCACAGUCCACGUUGUUAGCACAGUCCGCGUUGUUAGCACAGUCCACGUUGUUAGCACUGUCCGCUUUGUUAGCACAGUCCACGUUGUUAGCACAGUCCACGUUGUUAGCACAGUCCGCGUUUUUAGCACAGUCCACGUUGUUAGCACAG